rnacentral:rRNA from 1 species
ACUCAAAUGAAUAGACGGGGGCCCGCACAAGCGGUGGAUCAUGUGGUUUAAUUCGAAGCAACGCGAAGAACCUUACCUGGAUUUGACAUCCUCGGACAUCCCUAGAAAUAGGGCUUUGGUAGCAAUACCACCGGGAGACAGGUGCUGCAUGGCUGUCGUCAGCUCGUGUGGUGACAUGUUGGGUUAAGUCCCGCAACGAGCGCAACCCUUAUCUUUAGUUGCCAGCAUUAAGUUGGGCUCUCUAGAGAGACUGCCGUGGUUAACACGGAGGAAGGUGGGGAUGACGUCAAGUCCUCAUGGCCUUUAUAUCCAGGGCGACACACGUGAUACAAUGGACGGUACAGAGGGAUGCGAACCCGCGAGGGGGAGCCAAUCUCAAAAAGCCGUUCUCAGUUCGGAUUGGAGUCUGCAACUCGACUCCAUGAAGUUGGAAUCGCUAGUAAUCGUGGAUCAGCACGCCACGGUGAAUACGUUCCCGGGCCUUGCACACACCGCCCGU